GAAAUGUGUCUAUUGUUGUCUUGAAUGAUAAUGUAUUUGUAUGUACAGUGGCUCCCAGUGUUGAUACUAGUUUUUUUUGCCUUUCAUACCAUAUAGCAACACAUGCUAGAGUUGUCUGUUGAUAUGAACGUUUUUAUAGAUAUAAAGAACUCUGCUUUAUUUUAUUAUUUUGUCAUGAAAUAUUAACCGGACAUUAAUGAUAACCGAAUCUAGCUAAAUUAUUUGUGUCCAAGUGUGAUAUGUGUAAGAUACACUGUUGUUCGCAAUUUUCCAAAUUUUGAAAGUGAUUUGGGAAGUCAGUGUGUUUAUACAAGCUACUCAUGAGGGUCUUGCACGUAAAAAAGGUGUGAAACUUAAUUGACAGGGGUAAUCUUUUGUACUGAGUAUGGUAUCAUCAAAUUUUACUGUCCAGUUAAAUGAAGCAAGAUUAGUAGUAAAUCAGUGUUUUGUGGUAAAAACAGACCGUCCAGAUCCGGAACGCGGAAUUCUGGAUAAAUGAGACAAAAUAACAUAUAAAAAAUCUGUUCCCAAAUAAAAUCGUCCGUAAACUGAAGCGUCCGGUUAUCUGGCAUCCGGAUAUCUGAGGCCCCACUGUAUAUCUGUAUUUCAACCCAAACAUAUUAAGUGAAACGAUCAAAAAAUAGUUGCAGAAAAUAGCAAAAUGAACUUAUUUAAUUUGACUUCUUUUAUCAUUAGCUGUAAGUCUGCGGAAACUUAGAAAGAAGAUGUUCAGGUUUUUUUAAUCUCCAAGUUCAUACUGCGCCGGAUACCCCGACCACUGACUUGUUUAACUAAACAAACUAUUAAAUAUUCUUUUAAUAUUACUUGUUGAGGGUUCUUCAAUGUUUAUGCCAAUUUUCACCAAAAUUCAUCAUUUAGAAGGGGAAAUAUUCCAGCUGUCUCAAUAAUUUCUGAAAAACCCUUGUACAUACACCCCCUACCCACCUACCCAUGAUGAUCUUCCCCCCCUUUCCACACUUUGCUACUUCCUGUUUAAUUUUGGAUCUGUUGGGGAUUUACGUUAAGUGUCUUUAGACUUUUUAUUGUAGAGCUGAUAUCUUUUAGAUCUGUAGAAUUUAUAUUUUAAUUAUAGUUUUGUUUCAUUUAAAGUAAUUUUGCCCAAUUUUCUGUUGUUUUAGAUGAUGGACCACUCUACUUCUUUUGACAACAGGUGCCCCUACAGAUUCACAAAGUUCCAAUGUUGAAUGUCCAUGACCCUGGUUGAUCCGCGACAGGAAAAGGAAUAAAGUUGGCAGGAAUUUCCGCACUGUCUUUGGUAGCAGCUGAUGAUGGAACUGACAGCAGUUGACAUGGCCUGUUUCUUCAAAGAUGCACCAGAAGCAGCAGCACUAUCUCCAUCACUGGUGAAAUGGGAAAUGACAAGUGGACGGUCAUCACUUUGCAGCUCAACGAUGCAUUCCGCAGCCCAUCUCUUUUCAUCUUCUAUGGUGUUCUCAGGAGGAAUGGUUGCAAUGCAGUCUUCAUGUCCUAGGCAUGUAACUUCCUUUUCCUUGGUUCUAAAAUAGGUGCCUUUCUUGCAUAGUUUAUUGCCACAAAACACAGCCACACCAUUCUUCUUGGUAACAUUUUCACUUAAGGUCAGACGACACGUUCCUCAAUUUUAGAUAACUUUUUCCAGGAAAUUGUUAAUGGUUUACUACUACUUUGACAAGCCUUCUUGCAAAAAAUUAGGGUACCUUCCCAAGCAUUUCUUCAAAAUACUAGAGUAUGCAAUUUCCUAUAUAAUCUUCUUGAAAAUACACUUGAAUUGCUGAUAUAAAAAUAAAUUCAUCUACACCACAGCGAUAUUCACUAUAUUAGAACUACAUCUCUGCCGGGGCGGGGCUUUGAACUCACGACCUCUAUAACCUAUAAACGCUUCUGACAGUGAGCUGCCACGGUUCUAACCACUCGACCAUCUAGACAUAUAACCACAUCUAAGUAAAUUGUGAUCAUUUUUAAAGUAAUUAUAAAAUUAAUAUUUUUUAUUGGAACUCUUUAUAAC